UCCCACGACAGCAGCCUGAAAAGGAGCGCUAACUCCGCCUUUCUGUGAUGGGGAUAAACGCCCUCCUCGCAGACCGCCCGUCUUUCCCCCCACUGGCCCUUUAACAGGCUCGCCAGCGUCCCACAGCAGCGUCCCCAGGAAACGGGAGACGACGGGACUGUGUAAUGACAAGCCGGCGAGUGGACCCUGUUCAUCUCGUCUGGACUGAUCAGACCCUGAGCUCUGUGGAUCAGUAAGAUUAUAUUAAAGAUGGCCUGAAGAGAGUCUGCGAGUUCCAAAGCCAUUAGCAGCCUCUUGGUGAGAAAGACUUGUACGCUGCUAUGACACUCCAAAUAGUUUCACCCCAGGCUGUCACUUGGCAUUCCAGCACAAAAGAUUGAGACGAGAUGAUGCACAUCUUUUCAUGUGUGGCACCAAGUUGUAGCUUGACAGUAAGCCACUGUGGAAAAGAUGAGACCUGAGACAUUCAGCACUGUUGAAAUAUGCUGCAUGAACUUGACAGUUAAACAGACCUGCAAGCUUUCAAACUGGCCGUUAUGUUUUUGAAAGAAUAACUCUAAUUCUGCGAGGCCAGUUAUACUUCUGAAAGAGUAACUCGGUAAAAGACCUAGUCUUCAAUAAUAGAAAAGUACAGUGUUCCUUGUCACAACAUUGUACCAAGUCAUAAAAAUGAAAGGUUAAAGAGGAAAAUGUGAAGUGAACAAAACGGGACUUUCUCAUAACCACAUUCUCUACUUAUUAACCUGUCACACUCUAAGGAACCUUUGGUAGGUCCAGACUUACUUACCUCAUUCUCAUAACUACAUAUCUUUGUUGCACAUACUGGGUAAUUUGAAGUAGGACAGUAGACAUAGAUUAAUAACUAAAUUAUAAUAGCAUAAUGUAUGGCAGCGCAAGGUCUGUUGGGCAUGCUGAGGCAAGCCCAUCCCAAUCCCCACACCUCCCUCGGUCCCCUAGAAUGGGCCACCGGCGUGUCAGUGCCAGCAGCAGGGGCAGCAAGUCUGGUAGUGGUGGAAAAACUCUUUCCAUGGAGAAUAUCCAGUCCCUGAAUGCUGCCUAUGCAGCAUCUGGUCCAUUUUACUUGAGUGAUCACGAGGCACUGGCCUCCUCUGCCUACCCAAAAGGAACCAUGACCUUGGGGCGUGCCACCAGCCGGACAUCUUAUGGGGGAAGGGCCACCGCGAUGGGCAGCAGCCCCAACAUCAGCUCCUCCGUAGGGCAUCUUCACUCAGACUCGAUGGGCUAUGGAGAUCACGGAGCCAUGCAUCUCCACUCGCUGCAGCACCAGGGGCCUUCUUCUCCACUGCUGAGACAGGCCGUGCGGGGUGUGGCCAGAGGAGACGGGGGCCCCCUGAUGGAGCAGUUGAGGGAGCUGCAGAGGGAGAAUGACAUGUUGAGGAGGGAGCUUGACGUGAAGGACAGCAAGCUGGUUUCUUCAGUCAACAGCAUCAAGAGCUUCUGGAGUCCUGAGCUAAAGAAGGAACGAGGGAUGAGGAAAGAGGAGGUGUCAAAGACGUCCAUACUGAAGGAGCAAAUGAGAGUGCUGGAUGAUGAGAACCAGUUUUCGGAUUCUGAGAGACCACAGCACCUUCAGAUGACCAUCCAGACUUUACAGGAGGAGCUCUGUACACAGAGGGAUUUGAAUCAGCUCCUGCAGCAGGAGAACCGUACAGGCCCAUCUGACUCCACGUCUGAUUGCUUCCCUGUCCUGGAGCUCACUGAGGACAACUUCCAUCAUCUACAGGGUGAGCAUGAGCGGCAAGCGAAGGAGCUCUUCCUUCUGAGGAAAACCCUUGAGGAGAUGGAGCUCCGCAUCGAGACCCAGAAACAGACACUGAGUGCACGGGACGAGUCUAUCAAAAAGCUCUUGGAGAUGCUUCAGAACAAGGGCCUCCCCAGGUCUGGGCUGCCUGAUGAAGACGGUCUGAGGGUCAGACGUGAGGCUGAGGAACAGCUGGGCCACCUGGAGAUCAUUCUGGAGCAGAAAGAGAAGGAGAACCUGCACUUAAGAGAGGAGCUACACCGGAGGAAUCAACAGACAGAUCCUGCCAAAACCAAGGCCUUGCAGACCGUCAUUGACAUGAAGGACACCAAAAUCGCCUCCCUGGAGCGGAACAUCCGCGACCUGGAGGACGAAAUCCAGAUGCUCAAAACCAAUGGCCUGCUGAACACGGAUGACAGAGACGAGGAGCUCAAGCAGAUGGAAGUCUACAAGAGCCACUCCAAGUUUAUGAAGAACAAGAUUGAUCAGCUUAAGCAAGAGUUAUCGAAAAAAGAGUCUGAGAUGUUGGCCCUGCAGACUAAACUGGAGACCCUGACCAAUCAGAAUUCAGACUGCAAACAGCACAUUGAAGUCCUGAAGGAAUCCCUUACAGCGAAGGAGCAGAGAGCUAAUGUCCUGCAAACAGAGGUUGAUGCCUUAAGGCUGCGUCUGGAGGAGAAGGAGUCCUUCCUGAAUAAGAAGAGCAAGCAGUUGCAGGACGUAACAGACGAGAAAGGAACACUGAGUGGAGAGAUACGGGACCUCAAGGACAUGUUGGAGGUCAAGGAGCGUAAGAUCAACGUCUUGCAGAAAAAGAUUGAAAAUCUGAUGGAACAGCUGAAGGACAAAGAAAAACAGCUUGGAAGUUUGAGGGACAGAGUGAUGUCUCUACAGACUGACUCCAGCAACACUGACACAGCCCUCGCCACUCUGGAGGAGGCCCUCUCUGAGAAGGAGAGGGUCAUAGAGCAUCUGAAGGAGCAGAGAGAGAGAGAGGAGCGAGAGAAGCAUGAGGAAGUGGAGGCAUAUAAGAAGGAAAAUAAGGAGAUGAAGGACAAAAUCACCUCCCUACAGGCACAGCUCUUGGACAAAGAGAACCCUCUGCAAGGCAAAUCAGCGGCCCUGGAAGCUGAAGAAGCAGCUCGGAGGAACCUAGAGCUCUCAGAGCGCUUAAAACUUCUAGAAAAAGAAGUGGCCUUCCAUAAAGAGGAGUCUGGGAAGUCUAAGGCAGAAGUGGACAGGCUUCUGUCUAUUCUUAGAGAUGUGGAAUCAGAACGCACGGAGAAGGACAACAAAAUCUCUGAGCUGGAGAGGCAAGCAAAGGAACAAAAUAAGAAACUGACAAGUGCAAAACCCACCCAGCUGGGAGAAAUGAAACCGUCCGAUGGGCCUCCACAGUUGGAGGAGCUGAUGGCAGCCUUGGAGAAGACACGGCAGGAGUUGGAUGUUACAAAGCAACGGCUGUCCACUACGCAGAUCUCACUUUCUGAGAGGGAAAAUCACCUGACCAGCAUGAGACAGGAGCGCCGGAAACAACUAGAGGAGAUUCUAGAAAUGAAGCAACAGGCACUGUUGGCAGCCAUCAGCGAAAAGGAUGCUAACAUCGCCCUUCUAGAACUUUCUGCUUCUAAAAAGAAGACAAGCCAAGAGGAGGUGAUGGCCUUGAAAAGAGAAAAGGACAGACUCAUGUACCAACUCAAGCAGCAGACGCAAAGCAGGAUGAAGCUCAUUGCAGAGAAUUAUGAAGAUGGCCACGUUCAUCCCCACCAUUCUCAUCACGCUCACCCGGGAUACACACACCACCGCGGCCCACCAAGAGGACCAGCAUCACACGCCAAUCACAGAGCCCAGAUAGAGCAGGAUGAUGAAGAGGGCAUCUGGGCAUGACUGUUGCCAACAAAAUCAUUGCUCCUGUCACGUUCAAAAUGGAGGUGUAAAGCUGAACACACAUCUAUCAUUCUGCACUUGCUAGGCCUGCAUCUCUAUGAGGGGAGUCUUCAUUUUUAACCCACUCAGAGAAAGAGGAGGAGAGAGGGAGAAAGGAAGAAAAAGAAAGAAAGGAGAGAGGUCUAUGUCCAGGUACUAUUCUAGAUUAUUUCUCUGGCUAGAAAGGAAUGGGCAGAAUGCUAUGAUUGACAGCUACUCCUCAUCACAAUAAGGUGCUCCCUCUCUCUGAAGCUCCUCAUCUCCAGUUACACGACAAAUGGACCCCACUGGCACGACCAUUGCACUAUGCUCUCACCAUGAAGCCUAAAGCAACCUCAAAACCUUACCCACUUCAGCAAAGUGCAGCAUCAUCGAGCGUAGACUCCCUGUGGAUGCUCCUCGCACUGCACUACCACCAUCUGGAUAACAUUUGAUGAUUAUCAGUUUUGCUAGUAUUGCUCAUGAUAUGAACCAUGGAUAUAGCCACGCCAUAUUGUUGUCAUUUGAAAUGGUUUUUGUCUGCCUUACUGGAUCUUAAUUGACAGAAGCAGUACAAGACGUUGGCUGUGUCUGAACACAAACACUAUUCAAUGACAGGUAGACACCCAGAAAGAGUGAUGCAUAGAAAUAACUCCAAUGCCUCUAUUGUCUUCUUUUGCAUUCGUUAAUAUUUCUUGUGCUCAUUACUAUAAUUUUGAUCAUUUUCUUUCUGUGGGAAAAGAUGCCAACCGCUAACAUUACUCCACUAACUCACAACGAGCGGUUGGGGUCUUAGUCGAUUUGUAAAUAAGCACCUUUUUAUCUAAAUGCUCAAAGGCUGCCAUCUAAGAGCUUCAUGAGACAGCAUGAACAGCAAGGUGUCAGACACAGCUAUGAAGUAUUUAUUUAGGCAAGGAAGGUCUAAGGCACUUCCAUCCGUCCUUCUUUCCAGUUGAUCCAUUGUUUCAUUACAGCUCCGCUCGUACCCAGGAUUCAUUUCAGUCUUUUCUGUUAAAUCUCCUCCAUACCUAGCAGUGACGGAUAUACAGUUGCUCGUGGCAGAAGGCUGUCAUAGAAACAAAAAAAAGAGAAACUGCUCACCACUUUCCACUUCUGGAAACAUCUGCCUUCACCCAAGUCAGCAUGGAAAUGUGCUCAAGUUUGGGGAGGAAAAAACAUCUUCUUCAACAGACUGAAAAAGACUCCUACUCUUCCUCAGUGCCUAUGAGAGAAGCUGCCUGUAUCAGUGACCCGUGUGUGUGUGAGGAUUUGUGCGUACUCGUCACGAACGAGAACAAAAAUAACGACACACAUCCAUUGCAUUAUUCUUUGUUUAAGGCAUCAAUGGUCACCUCUGUGUUUUCCUUUGACAGUGAUGUGUUGUGUGCUUUCCAGAGACCCCUCCAAGGAAACACGUCUUUAACUGCUUUGUAAUGAGCGCAAGGACUUCCUAAAACACUGACCAGAGCCUUGAACUUCGACCUUGGGAUGUAAUGUGUCUAAUAGUCUAUACUUGAAGCCAAAAUUGGCUCAGUGGACCAGUUUGAAGAUCAAGUUAAAAAGGAAGGAAAUCGUAAAAUACGGCAUCUCAUUUUUACACACAACGUGCCAAAAAUCUGUCUCUUUUGAUAAAAUCUUUUAGUAAACUUGAGAUCGUGUCUUAAGAGUUCCCAAAUCGGCCUGCUCUCAGAUGUGUACUUAAAAAUAAAAGCACUGCAUGGACAUAUCUACUGGGCAUAAUUAUACCACUGAUCCAAAUGCAAAACAACCCACAUUCUCAGUGGUUUAACCCGAACAUCAAUUUACAGGCAUUUCCCAUUAAAAACCACUCCUAUUACAGUUCAGCAGAAUGUGACAAUCCUCAGGAUGCAUAAAUGGCAACGAAAAAAAGCUCAUUUUAAACAGAGAAAUCAACAUUUCUCUAUUUCUACAAGAACACAAGUUCACGUCAAGUUCAAAAGUCAGAAAACUGAAUAUUCUUGCAUUCUUAUUACAUUUAUGGUUCUUUUGUCUAUGCAUAUAAGUUUUACAUUUAAUUGUUUUAUUUGAAAGAUUUCCAGAGUGUUGCCUCAUCCUUACAUUGCGAAAUGGACAGUGUAAAACUGUUCCCCAUUCACAGGAAUAGUUUGGUUAAAAAGCAUUUGUUGCUAACAAACUGAAAGCAAAAGUACACCACUUAGCACAAUGCAAAGGACAUCAUGCUAUUUGGUGCCUACUACCUUCCACUCACUGUGAGCAUUCCCAUCAGCUUCUCGGUUCACUCGCUUGUCUCCACUUAAUUACUGCAUGCAUUUUCAAUGCCACAAGAAGAGGAGAAUAAGAAUGCAUGCAAACUUGAGAGCUGUAUGGAAAUGUUAAUAACAUUGAAUCUCUACAAAGAGGCGGGAAAAAAGAAGAAAGGUGAUUUGCUGAUCAAAUAGUUUAUAAUAACAUUUUAUUACAUGAAUAACUGAGGCUCUCACUCAUUGUCAUGAGUAAGAAAUGGUGACGUCGAUGUUAAAAACUGUAUUGCACUGGUCUUUAAUGCUCUAUUUACUGUUUUGGUUCAGUGUCCAUGUUACAUUUAUUCCCUUCUUACUUUCUUUUUACUUUCUUUUUGUACAGAUUGUGAACUGCACAAGUUGUUUCUAUGUUUUUUUGUCGAACAUUGGUGUCUUCAUCCUGCCUGUCUGUCUGUCUGUUGUUUUGUUUAUUUCAUUCCUUAUUUAUUUAAUCAGAGCAAACAUUUAAUUUAAACGAAGCAAUGUUUGAGUACAGGGUUUCAUCCAGGGGGUGCAAUAACAGUGAGAUUUAAAGUUGUAUAGCUUAAUGUAUGUGUGUGUGUGUGUGUGUGUGUGUGUGUGUGUGUGUGUGUGUGUGUGUGUGUGUGUGAUAUCUGAAUAGAUGGUACUUGUAUUGUGGCCAGCUGUGUGUUUGAAAGCUUGUGAGGUGUAGAUACUCGCAGAAUUGCAAACACAGUGAAUAAACACUCUUGAAUGUUUUGCAGUGACCAGCUUGUCUCUGUGCAUUAAAGGUCAUUUCCUCUUA